rnacentral:lncRNA from 1 species
UAGAAGUGAAGUUGGUUUAUCUCAUCAGUCCUGAGUAUCCGAGUUAGAUCUAGACUGUCUCUUUUCUGACUUCCUUACAUGUUGUUUUGCCACUUGUACCAGAGCAAAGUGAGUGCAGGAGCCACGCAGUCGUCACACUUCCUUAUGAUCGCACAUCACCUCAGGAAGAGUGUGCCCCUUGAUGACGCUUCGAAAGAGCCGAGGCCGAGCUCUGCGCGCACAGCCCAGCAGCUGGAAACCAGGCGGCUCUUGCGUUCCAGGCGCAAACCUACUCGCUUCCCUCCUCAGAACCUGAUUCUGCAAGAAACGAUGCAAAACUUGGUGAACUCUCUUUCCAGUUGUGUUAGAUUUCAGCGAGCUCCGAAUUUGACGUGAUGGCUUGCCCUUAAAGAGCUGGCUGCGCUUGACAAGCAUGUGGCAGUACUUCAUUAACCACCAGCAGCCCCUCCCAGCGCAGCCUCCCUUAGGUGGGGUGUUUGUUCAGCGCACGCAAUUAUCUCUCUGUCGUUCUGUCUCGUAUUGAGUCAUGUGGAAAAAUAUGAUUAAAACAUGAACAUCUACAAAUGAUUCAGAAUAACAAGAGAGGAAAGGCCAUUGUUUUUUUGCACUGACUAUAC